rnacentral:rRNA from 1 species
AACGAACGCUGGCGGCGUGCCUAACACAUGCAAGUCGAACGGGAAAACCCGCAAGGGUGAGUACAGUGGCGCACGGGUGCGUAACACGUGGGUAAUCUGCCCAGAAGCCCGGAAUAACUCCCCGAAAGGGGUGCUAAUGCCGGAUGAGACCACGGGGACUUCGGUUCCUGGGGGAAAAGGUGGCCUCUGUAUACAAGCUAUCACUUCUGGAUGAGCCCGCGGCCCAUCAGCUAGUUGGCGGGGUAAUGGCCCACCAAGGCUACGACGGGUAGCUGGUCUGAGAGGACGAUCAGCCACACUGGAACUGAGACACGGUCCAGACUCCUACGGGAGGCAGCAGUGGGGAAUCUUGCGCAAUGGGCGAAAGCCUGACGCAGCAACGCCGCGUGUGUGAUGAAGGUCUUCGGAUCGUAAAGCACUGUCGGGAGGGACGAAUAAGGGCCGGGUGAACAAUCCGGUUCGACGACGGUACCUCCAGAGGAAGCACCGGCUAACUCUGUGCCAGCCGCCGCAGUAACAC